rnacentral:rRNA from 1 species
AUAUUACUAAGCGGAGGAAAAGAAAUUAACGAAGAUUGCCUCAGUAGCGGCGAGCGAAGUGGCAAAAGCUCAAGUUAAAUCUGUGGCCUACGGUCACCGAAUUGUAAUCUAAAGGGGUUAGCAAAAGGGGAAGUGGAGGCAUAAGUUGCUUGGAACAGCACGCCAAAGAGGGUGAUAGCCCCGUAUUUGGCCUCGACAGAACCGAAUGCUGGCUUUCAGAGAGUCGGGUUGUUUGGGAUUGCAGCCCUAAAUGGGAGAUAAACUUCUUCUAAGGCUAAAUAUCUAUGGGAGACCGAUAGCGCACAAGUA